GCUACCAGACAUAGAACCCGACGUACGAGCUAAGGAAUGUGCGACACCAUUCGCUGACCGCCUAAGAAAACAAAUACGACAAUCCUCAAUAUCAAGGAGGAGUUGCUUACAAUCAUCAAUAACCAAAUCUAAAGGACUCGGAAAAGAGUCAAAUCCCUGAAUAGCCUGAACAAGAUUGAAAGCAUCUGAUUCAAGGAUCACUUUCGCUGCUUGACGAGUAUUUAACCAGCUAAGGGCCUCUCUGCAGCUGAUUGCUUCCGCCAUUUCAGGAUCCAAAUGACCCGCAAAAGAGCCACACCCAGCAGCAACCAAAGAACCAGCGCAAUCUCUAAUCACCCAACCAUAACCAAGCUAAUGCUUAAUGGGUUGUUUGGUUUGAAGGAAAGUAAUGUUUUUUUCUUUAUUUAAAGGGAGAGGGAAUGAGUAUUCUAAUGAAAUGCGUAAUCAUAUGUUUAUUAGAAUGCUUAUUUCAUUUCAACCGACAAACUUUAAAUAAAAAAAACCCAAGUAAUGUCCAUUCCAUUCUCACAUAUCAGUUUUCACAUCUCUGUGGCAUUGAUAUUAAAAUGAGAAAUUUGUCAACAAUUGAACUACCUACACUGCAUAUAUUCUAUUCCACUUGAAAUUAGAUUAUAUAUAUUGCCACAACUCUGUUCGUUUUGACGCAAGAGCUUGCGUUUGAACCUUCACACAAUCUU
rnacentral:lncRNA from 1 species